CGCGGCCUAUCAGCUUGUUGGUGGGGUAAUGGCCUACCAAGGCGACGACGGGUAGCCGGCCUGAGAGGGUGACCGGCCACACUGGGACUGAGACACGGCCCAGACUCCUACGGGAGGCAGCAGUGGGGAAUAUUGCGCAAUGGGCGGAAGCCUGACGCAGCGACGCCGCGUGGGGGAUGACGGCCUUCGGGUUGUAAACCUCUUUCAGUAGGGACGAAGCGCAAGUGACGGUACCUACAGAAGAAGCACCGGCCAACUACGUGCCAGCAGCCGCGGUAAUACGUAGGGUGCAAGCGUUGUCCGGAAUUAUUGGGCGUAAAGAGCUCGUAGGCGGUCUGUCGCGUCGGCUGUGAAAUCCCGGAGCUCAACUCCAGGUCUGCAGUCGAUACGGGCAAACUGGAGUACUGCAGGGGAGACUGGAAUUCCUGGUGUAGCGGUGAAAUGCGCAGAUAUCAGGAGGAACACCGGUGGCGAAGGCGGGUCUCUGGGCAGUAACUGACGCUGAGGAGCGAAAGCGUGGGGAGCGAACAGGAUUAGAUACCCUGGUAGUCCACGCCGUAAACGUUGGGCGCUAGGCGUGGGGCUCAUUCCACGAGUUCCGUGCCGCAGCUAACGCAUUAAGCGCCCCGC
rnacentral:rRNA from 1 species